rnacentral:tRNA from 1 species
CAAAGGUAGUUUAAGAAAAAACUAAGGCUUUGGGAGUCUAGGAUGCUAUAAGGUAGCUCUUUGA